GGAAGUGCCUUCACUGGGAGCUGUGUGUAACAGGAAAGCAGGGGCAGCUACGUAACGCUUAACAUAUAAAAGAUGCCAAUUGGUAGAGAAAGAGUGGAAGCCGUUCUUCACUUGGGCUUCAUGUCACCAAGAGCACGCUUACGGAAAGCCUGUCAUUUACACAGUGCAUGGCAGGUGGUAGAGAUCAAUCCUCAGGCGUGGUGGAGAAUUGGAUGACCUAUGUUCUUCAUGGCAACGACACACUGUGGGCUGCAUUUAUUUUGGAUGAAUUCAAAAGCUGAAAUUAUAGUGGAAAAAACCCCCUUGACUCCUAUUAUAAUGUCAAACACUGGUAGAGACAUUUGGACAUCAUCCAGAAAAAUCAAUAGUUGCUCCAGACACAAUAAAAUACUACACAAGAAAAA